rnacentral:rRNA from 1 species
UUUUUAUAAUAGGUGUUUUCUGCCCAGUGUUGAAAUAAAUGGCCGCGGUACUCUGACCGUGCAAAGGUAGCAUAAUCACUUGUUCUUUAAUUGGGGACUGGUAUGAAAGAAAGUUUGAGGUCUAAUCUGUCUCUUUUUUGUUUUAAAAUUUGCUGUCUGUGUGAAGAAGCACAGGUUGUUAAAAAAGACAAGAAGACCCUUUUAAGCUUUAUUUAGAAUUCUUUGGCUUUUUCUUUCAAGAAUUUGGCUAAGGUCUAUAAAUUUGGUUGGGGUGACUGAAGAAGAUAAAAUCUUCUUUUGUUUAUUAGUACUUUAGGUUAAAAAAUGACCCAAGAUUUCUUGGUUGUAAGAAUUAGUUAUCUAAAGGGAUAACAGCGUAAUCUUUUC